CCUAAAUGCGUCUGUGUUCACGCGAAUCAUUCGGGAUCGAGCUUCAUCUACACAAGAAGCGAGUAUAAGGUUUUUUAUGAAUCUUUGCAAAUCACCUUUCCUAAUAUGUGCUAGUUAGAAAGUUUCGCGGCUAAAGUAAAUAGUACUGAUCCUCAC